rnacentral:lncRNA from 12 species
UACCUUAAAAAAAAAUUCCAACCGUUUUGUAGGGAAACGAACUUAAAAUGAAUAAGGUGCUUCCUUAACGUCUUCAACAGUCAUUUGAAAGUCAUUUAACUUCUGUCUGUGAUUCAGGGUUAAUCAUUAUCAACAUCAUUUCCAUAGUGAGCUGCAAAGUGACAGGAGGUGAGAGGGCGCCGCCUUGCCUAGGUGUGGCUCCGCCGCUGCCCGGAAGGCCCCGGGCUGCUGGGCUUGGGUCCUUACCGUGGCCCUGUGCAGAUGAUCGGUCUCAUCCGUCUCCCUGCCGUCAGAAUGUCAGCUCAAAGCAGUUUAAUGAUACUUUGAUUUGUUGCUCCUAAUCUGUUGUGAAUUUACCAACCAGAUGCCUGCAUUUGUUAGAAAUGUUCAUAAAAGCAGGGAUUCCGAGUAUGAAUCAUGGAUUUCAACAGCUCCAGGUAGGGGAGGUGUUACUGUAGCUGGUGACCUGUCAGUGACCCUCUUUUAUUUAGUUAUUUAGAUUCUUGUUUUUAACACGGAACUGUUUCUCUUCCUUCCUGCAAUCAUUGUUUAUCGUCAUUCAUAGUCACUUCGGGCUGCUGCUGCUGCUUCUAGAGUCCCACACCCCAUACAACCUUGACCUAGCUCACCUCCUUAGGUGCCACCUGACAAGCAUUUUCUAAGUGCCCCUCUCUGCCCAAGGCCUGGCCAGGCACUCAGUGGAGGGACUGCUAGAGCAGGCCAAGCCGUGGCCCUACCUUCCAGGGACUCACAGUCUGACUCAGGAGGCAAGGUCAACACACAGGAGCAGUUAGGGAACACACAGGAAGGCCAGAAGUAGGGUAGAGGCUGGCUGGCUGUGGCCCCAUAUGGCCAGUAUGUUAGUGCACUGGGUGGUCAGGACCGAAGGCUGCCAGGAGUUUUACGGAGGGCUAUGGGGGGACCUGCAGGACACAUGCCAGACAGCCAAUCCUGGGCAACACUCAGGUUCCAGAGGACCCUGGCAGGACCAGCACCACUGUGCCUGACCCCCACUGGACUUACUGAAUCUCAGCUUUUGGUAUCAGAGCCAGAUGCAUAUGUGGGUGUGAUCCCAAGAGAUCCAGAAAUCCAAACCGUGGCCUGUGAUGGUAACUGAAUGGGACUUUCUCCUGCCCUCAAGGCCAAGAUGGCUCUCCUUCCCCCACUGGACUGGGGAACGAGCUUCCCCAAAGAUGCUCCCCACUCACUGGUCAAUCUCAACAACCCCCCACCCCUCAGCUCUGUCCCUCUGCCUCUAGGCGCUCACCCUCAUUAAAUGGCAAACUGGUACAGGAGGAGUCAGAUUUCUUAGAAGAGGUAAGGGACAAUUCAUGGAGAUAUUAAUAUGUGUUCUUCCAGUGUUUUCUUUUCUUCAUUGCAGGUAGCUAGGCCCUUGGUAAGUUCUUGCCUGGGGAAGACUUUGCAAAGCAAAGCCUGAUCUGUCUUUAAUAAAAGCCCAAGUUCACAGAAGAGCA